CGGGGUAACGGCCCACCAAGGCGACGAUGCGUAGGGGUUCUGAGAGGAAGGUCCCCCACACUGGUACUGAGACACGGACCAGACUCCUACGGGAGGCAGCAGUGAGGAAUAUUGGUCAAUGGCCGCAGGGCUGAACCAGCCAAGUCGCGUGAGGGAUGACGGUCCUAUGGAUUGUAAACCUCUUUUGUCAGGGAGCAAAGGGCGCCACGUGUGGCGCUUUGCGAGUACCUGAAGAAAAAGCAUCGGCUAACUCCGUGCCAGCAGCCGCGGUAAUACGGAGGAUGCGAGCGUUAUCCGGAUUUAUUGGGUUUAAAGGGUGCGCAGGCGGAAUGUCAAGUCAGCGGUAAAAUUUCGGGGCUCAACCCCGUCGUGCCGUUGAAACUGGCGUUCUUGAGUGAGCGAGAAGUAUGCGGAAUGCGUGGUGUAGCGGUGAAAUGCAUAGAUAUCACGCAGAACUCCGAUUGCGAAGGCAGCAUACCGGCGCUCAACUGACGCUCAUGCACGAAAGCGUGGGUAUCGAACAGGAUUAGAUACCCUGGUAGUCCACGCAGUAAACGAUGAAUACUAACUGUCCGGGCAGAAUGAUGCCUGG
rnacentral:rRNA from 1 species